rnacentral:rRNA from 1 species
AGAGUUUGAUCAUGGCUCAGGACGAACGCUGGCGGCGUGCUUAACACAUGCAAGUCGAGCGGAAAGGCCCCUUCGGGGGUACUCGAGCGGCGAACGGGUGAGUAACACGUGGGUAACCAACCUCUCGCACCGGAAUACCCCGGGGAAACUCGGAUCAAUGCCGGAUAAUGUGCGGCGCUGCAGGGCGCCGUACCAAAGGUAGCUUCGGCCUCUGGCGAGAGACGGGCCCGCGGCCCAUUAGCUUGUUGGCGGGGUAACGGCCCACCAAGGCGACGAUGGGUAGCUGGUCUGAGAGGAUGAUCAGCCACACUGGGACUGAGACACGGCCCAGACUCCUACGGGAGGCAGCAGUGGGGAAUCUUGCGCAAUGGGCGGAAGCCUGACGCAGCAACGCCGCGUGCGGGAGGAAGGCCUUCGGGUCGUAAACCGCUUUCAGGAGGGACGAAGCCACCUGGGUUAAUAGCCCGUGGGGUGACGGUACCUCCAGAAGAAGCCCCGGCUAACUACGUGCCAGCAGCGGCGGUAAUAC